GGGGGAGGUAACGGCUCACCAAGCCAGAGAUGGGUAGCUGGUCUGAGAGGACGAUCAGCCACACUGGAACUGAGACACGGUCCAGACUCCUACGGGAGGCAGCAGUGGGGAAUCUUGCGCAAUGGACGAAAGUCUGACGCAGCCAUGCCGCGUGAGUGAUGAAGGCCCUCGGGUCGUAAAGCUCUGUCCAAGGGGACGAAAAAGGUGUUGGUGAAUAUCCAGCAUUUCUGACGGUACCCUUGAAGAAAGCACCGGCUAACUCCGUGCCAGCAGCCGCGGUAAUACGGAGGGUGCAAGCGUUGUUCGGAAUUACUGGGCGUAAAGCGCGCGCAGGCGGCAUUAUAAGUCGGGUGUGAAAUCCCUGGGCUUAACCCAGGACGUGCGCCUGAUACUGUGAUGCUAGAAUCUGGGAGAGGGGAUGUGGAAUUCCUGGUGUAGAGGUGAAAUUCGUAGAGAUCAGGAGGAACACUCGUGGCGAAGGCGACAUCCUGGACCAAG
rnacentral:rRNA from 1 species